CCUCAGCUGCCUGGACAGGGUCACCUGAGAGGCAGGGGUCAGUUCGACCCUGCAGCAGGCCUGCUACUGCCCCCCAAGACCCUGCAGCCUCCCAGCCCAGUCCCUGCGGACCUGGGCCCGUCUCUCGCCUCGCAUGGAUGUCCAGACACCUCCCACCCCCUGCGGCCCCUCCUGCCCCCAUCCCAGCCUGGGUUCACACGGGGCCGUCCCUGCUCCCCAAAGGCUGUUCUGGGGCCAGUGACACCCUUGCACCCCCAGAGGGGUCGGGAAGGCUCCUGGGAGGAAGGAGAGGGAAAGGGCGCCGAGCUGCCGCCAGUCCCCCCUCCAACAGCGGAGGGGCCGCGAGCCCCCGAACUCCACCCUCAGGGCGGCUGCGAGCUCCACCUGGCCCCAGGAGCAAUGCGGGGACAGAUCUGCUGCCCAGCCCUGACUCUGGGGUGUGCGAAUUUGAGGCUGUGCCCAAGGCCAUCCCACCUCUCUGGUGACCUUGCCUGGGGCACCAGCCCAGCAGUGUGGGCAUCCUGCACCCCUCACACCCGUCCUCACUGUGGGGCAGACACCAGUGGUGUCUGCAAACCCACCCAGCAAGGACCCCGCAGGGAGGGCCGGAGGCCCCGCCAUGGCCCCAGUGACCUCCCAUCUGGGCCCCUGCCGCCCAGUCUCACGGUCCUGGUUUUACACAACGUACUCCAAUUUCUUCUCCCAAACCUGCAAGACCAGAAUUGCCGGCCUCGCAAAGAAAAGACCUCGGACUCGAGAGACGCGUGAGCAGGUAACGGCUUCGCACGGGGGGCUGAGCACCAGACUCAGAAGCAAGAGAGACGUGACCCCUGCAGGGUCUGGACCAGACCAGGGAGGGGAAAACCACCCCUGUGGUUCGUUCACGAAGGCUUCACAAAGCAGGUGUGGAAAAUACCGGAAGAACGCCUGGAACGACCCAGUGUGUGUUGGACGAAACUGUGAAGAGACAUGUACGCAAAACCUCAGAAGUCAGACGAAGCCCUGGAUUUGAAGCAUUUAAAAAGCAUGUGGUCUGUAGACACAGUCGCCAGGGGACCGGCCCCCCGCGAAGGCUGGGAACCGAAGCCACCAUCCCCGGGCCCGGGCUCUUGCAGGCAGGCUGCUUCACGACGGCGGAGCAGGAGCGCGGAAAAAGCCCCACAACCCGGGGGGUCCCUCUUCAGCCGCGCGGCGUCCAGGGCUCAAAGCGGCCCUGCUGGGGAGAGAGCCGUGACUCACCAGAGCUGGG
rnacentral:lncRNA from 1 species